rnacentral:tRNA from 1 species
GGUGUAGUAGUUUCAGCAUUGGACUAGGACUCUGAAGACCAGGGUUCAAAUCCCUGCUAAACCA